rnacentral:lncRNA from 1 species
AGGAGAGGGCGGUGAUGGGGAAGGAGGUGGAGGAGAAGGCGGUGGUGGGGAAGGAGGUGGAGGAGAAGGCGGUGGUGGGGAAGGAGGCGGGGGAGGUGGUAACGGAGAAGGCGGAAGGGGAGAAGGUGGUGGUGGGGAGGGAGGUGGAGGAGAAGGCGGUGAUGGGGACGGAGGUGGAGGAGAGGGCGGUGAUGGGGAAGGAGGUGGAGAAGGAGGUGGUGGGGAAGGAGGUGGAGGAGGUGGUAACGGAGAAGGCGGAAGGGGAGAAGGUGGUGGUGGGGAGGGAGGAAGCGGAGAGGGAGGAGGGGGAGAAGGAAGCGAGGGGGGCGGGGGGGCCGCGGGUGGAGGCAACGGCUGUGGUGGUGGUGGGAGGGCUGAUACCUGCUCAAACGGCGGCGGUGGUGGUGACAGUGCUGUUACCCGCACAGGGCAGCAGUCGUUGGUGCUACCACCUGCUGUGUCCCAGUUAAAAAUUGCAUACUUGCAGAUCCCAUCUCCUGCGCUGCACAAAUCCGAGAGAUACGUGCAGGGCGUCCUCUUCUGCAGGAAGAGGCAGAUCUGGGUGCCUGGAGCACCAGCAGGACUCAGAAACAACUUGGUUACACGCAGGACGCUGAGUUGGCUGUUGAAUUCCCAAGACCCCCAAGUCUGAUUGUUGACUGUUACCCGCUGGAGAGAGGGCCUGCAGGAGGACACUGCGAGAGCGCAAGAGAGAGGGGAGAUAAUCUUAGUCUGGAAGUAC